rnacentral:tRNA from 1 species
GUCGGGGUAGCUCAGUUGGUAGAGCAGAGGACUGAAAAUCCUCGUGUCAC